CAAUAGCGUAAAUUAAAGUUGUUGCGGCUAAAAAGUUCGUAGUCGGAUUUCCGGGCGCUGUGAACGGUCCGCCACGCAAGUGGUGCGCACUGUGUACGCCGUCCGUUUUUCAGGUAGCGAACCUUGCCAUUUCCUUGGUGUGGUACACGCCUGGCAUUUUACUUUGAAUAAAUUUUGAGUGCUCAAAGCAUGCCUCUGCUCGAAUAAUUUAGCGUGGAAUAAUAGAAUACGACUCCGGUUCAAAUGUUAUUGGUUUGUUGGGCCGGAGUAAUGAUUAAUAGGGACAGUGGGGGUGCUGGUAUGUCGAGGUCAGACGUGAAAUCCGUAGAUCCUUGACGGACCAACCAACGCGAAAGCAUUCACCAAGGAUGUUUUCACUGAUCAAGAACGAAAGUUAUGGGGAUCGAAGAUGAUCAGAUACC
rnacentral:rRNA from 1 species